AAUCAAAAAUGUUCGAAAGUUUUUGAGCAAUCGAUAUUUAAUUCAAAAUCUUGGCAGAGACAGUUCGCAAAACGACACUGAAGAGUUUGUUUGUCGGUUAUAUCGAGUACCGAAUAUAGAAGCUGGGGUAAAUAAAUGUAGAACAACAAAUCCGUCUUUUCCGUCUUCAUGUAAAAUUUGAUAUCUUAAUUGUGGUUGCACUAAAAAAUGCCAUACGGGUGCUUGUAAACUCUAUAAAACUAGUCAGCGUUGCACUCCUUGCGAUGUUCCUGUGAUGCCCUGUGAUGUAAGAAACCUUACAGCUAGGAGUAUGUAUAAAUGUGUAUCAAUAAAUCACACUUAUUAGCUUUAAAUCUCCGUAUUUUGUCAAGAAUUAAAUUUAUGUCUUUGUUUACACUUCAGUAUGUGCUUCAGCCGUAUCGCACAUGCAAUUUCCGGUGUUCUUAACCAAUGGGCGGGCGAGACUAAUUAGUCACAGCCAAUGAGAAUGGUCUAUUUGUUGCAUGGCAACAGGGAAAAAGAACUUUGUAGAUUUCAUUAUUUCAAUAUAUUUCAACAUCAUAACAAAGCGG
rnacentral:lncRNA from 1 species